AGGAUAAACGCUGGCGGCGUGCCUAACACAUGCAAGUCGAACGCCCUACGCAAGUAGGGAGUGGCGGACGGGUGAGGAACACGUGGGUAAUCUGCCCUUCGGUGAGGAAUACCGGCGAGAAAUCGCCGACAAUACCGCAUGCGUUUCACGGAAGUGAAAGAAAGUCGUAAGACGCCGAGGGAUGAGCCUGCGCCCGAUUAGUUUGUUGGUGGGGUAAAAGCCUACCAAGACUACAAUCGGUAGCUGGUCUGAGAGGACGAUCAGCCACACUGGGAUUGAGAACGGCCCAGACUCCUACGGGGGGCAGCAGUGAGGAAUUUUCGUCAAUGGGGGCAACCCUGAACGAGCAACGCCGCGUGCAGGAAGAAGGUUUUUCGGAUCGUAAACUGCUUUUCUGUGGGAAGAGAACGGACGGUACCACAGGAAGAAGCCCCGGCUAACUACGCGCCAGCAGCCGC
rnacentral:rRNA from 1 species